CUCCCUAAAAGUUUCAUAAUGAUAUCCUAAAGAUACCCCUGGCUAUGCAAAAGCCCAGAUUUUGGAGACUGAUGGUCUUACUUAAUUUUGUGAACUACUAAAUAUUUGCUGGCAUAAACGUUUCUUCUACCAGUUCUUUAAAGUUUGUUCAUACAAAAAAAAAAAAAAGGAAAAAAAGAAAUGGCAGAGAAAAACUUAAAGCCUCAAGGCCACCAUCAGCCCUAGGAUUUGUGGUUCUCCUGAGUGUAUUUUUUUAGUGUGUCUGUUCAAGCUGGUGUAGGAGAUUGACUUUUAAGGUUGAUGGUAUUGAUCUAAUUCACAGCCCUAUACUCAUUUAUCAUGAUUCUUUAAUCAAUAGUGUAGCUACUUAAGAUACUAGGAGUUUGGGUCCUUAUUUAUCUAGAUGACAUUUUGAUAGCACCUAUAUCCUCAGGGGCUCUUGUCUUUUAGGUCAGCACUUCAUUUCACCUCAUCCUUCCCCAAGGUGUGUAAGCAGUGGGAAGACAUUAAUGUCAUUUGCCCCAGUAUAUCUUUGGGUGUGGCAACACAUUUCUGACUCCUCAGCAGGUUUCUUCAUCAUAUACAUGUACAGGUCAGGUGCUGAGCUGGUGACAGCUGAUAUCCUUUGGGCAGAGACACACUGAUUCUUAGUGCUCUCCUUCACAAUACAUGUAGGCCCCUUUGCUUUACUUCUAACAGAAAAAAAAAAUAAAAAAAAGGAGAUGUUGAAGCUCUACUAAAAUAUGAUCCCAAGUAGGUUAGAUCUCAACGUUAAGCUUAGCCAAAAUCUGAUCCCAAGUAGAUUGGGCUUCAAUGCUCUGUUUCCCCAGAGAGUAUUCCUUCCUCAGCAUCAGGGGUAAGCACCAGCAGACAGCUUCCUGUCAGCCUCUUCCACAGGAGGCUCAGCUCUUCAGGAUGAACCAGCUUGUCUGCAGCCCUCAGGCAGAGGCAAACGUUGGCUGACACCUGGCUUUGCAAAAGGCUUGAGCAAUGCACCUACAGUAAAAGUGAGCUAGGAAUAAGCAGAGACCUGCUGGUCUUCCAUGCAGAAAAAUAAACCCCCUCAAGCUUUGCGGCA
rnacentral:lncRNA from 1 species